GUACACAUACAUACCAAAACUCGAGUAUGAUGUCGCUACCCUGCAGCAAUAAGGCGGCCAAUUUUCCGUUAAGGACUAGUACUUCACUGGUUAAAAUUUGACUGGUCAGA